rnacentral:rRNA from 15 species
CUGCGGUCAUCCUUAGGUGCCCAUCUCUGUCCCGGAAUAUACUGGGGGUAAAAUGCCUGGAGGCGGACCUUUGAGUCUCCG